CAGAGGGUGCGAGCGUUGUCCGGAAUCACUGGGCGUAAAGGGCGCGUAGGUGGCCUGGUAAGUAGGGGGUGAAAUCUCGAGGCUCAACUUCGAGGCUGCCUCCUAAACUGUCAGGCUUGAGCAGAGUAGGGGCAGGUGGAAUUCCCGGUGUAGCGGUGGAAUGCGUAGAGAUCGGGAAGAACAUCGGUGGCGAAGGCGGCCUGCUGGGCUCUUGCUGACACUGAUGCGCGACAGCGUGGGGAGCAAACAGGAUUAGAUACCCUGGUAGUCCACGCCGUAAACGAUGGGUACUAGGCGCCGGGGGGAGCGACCCCUUCGGUGCCGUCGCUAACGCAAUAAGUACCCCGCCUGGGGAGUACGGCCGCAAGGCUG
rnacentral:rRNA from 1 species